UACAGAGGGUGCGAGCGUUAAUCGGAAUUACUGGGCGUAAAGCGUGUGUAGGUGGUUGUAUAAGUUAGAUGUGAAAGCCCCGGGCUUAACCUGGGAAUUGCGUUUAAGACUGUAUGACUAGAGUACUGUAGAGGAUAGUGGAAUUUCCAGUGUAGCGGUGAAAUGCGUAGAUAUUGGAAGGAACACCAGUGGCGAAGGCGACUAUCUGGAUAGAUACUGACACUGAGACACGAAAGCGUGGGGAGCAAACAGGAUUAGAUACCCUGGUAGUCCAUGCUGUAAACUAUGAGAACUUGCUGUUGGAUGCAUAAAGGCAUUUAGUAGCGAAGCUAACGCGUUAAGUUCUCCGCCUGGGGAGUACGGCCGCAAGGCUAAA
rnacentral:rRNA from 1 species